GCCUAUGGCCACACCACCCUGAAAACGCUCGAUCUCGUCUUGAUCUCAGAAGCUAAGCAGGGUUGGGCUCGGUUAGUACUUGGAUGGGAGACCGCCUGGGAAUCCUGGGUGCUGUAGGCU